GUAACCUUUCUGGGUUCACGGCAGUGUCCCCUGGCCUCCCACUAAUCGCCCUGUGGCCAGUACCUCCCACCCACCAAAGUCCUAGUUCCUGUGGGUUUCCAUUCCAACGUGAGAAACAGCAGAAGCUGGAGAGUCUAACAUCCAACACUGGGGCAGAGGGAGGCUCCUGGCGUCAGAGCUGGGGAGAGGAGUUUGGAGGUGUCAUUGAAGUUCUCCAUACGGCAACCAGGGAAAGAAACUUUUUCUAACUUCAAGUCUUUCUCCACCUGAGCCCCCUCACAUCCCUUCCUCCAUCCCGCACUUACACCUCGCACCUCCUCAGGGUGGGUGUGAGUUCCUGGAGCCUUCUCAGCCUGCAGGUACAACGGAUUGAGACAAGCUGUGUCUUCUGCUCCUCAGCACGGGAUCGAACUUGGGACCUUGUGCUUGCAAGGCAGGCGCCAGAACCACUGAGCUAAAUCCCCAGCCCAAAGAGUAGGUACUUUUUAAGAUUUCCAUAGACACUAAAUAUUGCUUCCCAAAGAACAUGUACCCAUCUCUAACGCAGCCACUAGAAUAUGAAGAUUGUGCCGGGCGUGGUGGCACACCUGUAAUCCUACCACUCAGGAGGCUGAGGCAGGAGGAUCACCAGGAGAUCAAGGCCAGCCUGGACUACAUAGGGAAAUCCUGUCACAGCCAAACAGACAAAAAUAUGAAGAUUGUUCCUCUGUCAUGAAUACCACCAAUCAACAAGCUCUGGGGAUUGAAUCGGGAUUUACACCCACUAGGCCAGCACUCUGCCACAAAGACUCAUCCCCAGCCCUUCCCUCCUGCUUGUUUCCUUGAUUCAUUGACCUUCAUUGAUCUUUGGAGGCCUUUAGACUUUUUUUUUGUUACUGGGCAUCAAACUCAGGACCUUGUGCUUGCCAGUCAGGGGGUGGAACCACUGAGCUAAAUCGCUG
rnacentral:lncRNA from 1 species